rnacentral:rRNA from 1 species
AGACGUCUACAUUAGAUACCCCCGGUAGUCCCAGCCGUAAACUAUGCGCGUUAGGUGUAUCGGUGACCACGAGUUACCGAGGUGCCGAAGGGAAACCGUGAAACGUGCCGCCUGGGAAGUACGGUCGCAAGGCUGAAACUUAAAGGAAUUGGCGGGGGAGCACCACAACAGGUGGAGCCUGCGGUUUAAUUGGACUCAACGCCGGGAAGCUCACCGGAUAGGACAGCAGAAUGAUUGCCGGGCUGAAGACCCUGCAUGACUAGCUG